UUCCAUCAACAGCUGUCAUCAUGAGCAACUGUCAAAAUAUUUUCCACCAGUCCCUGACCAGUUGACCCAUUUUGUCACAUGAUAAUACCAUAACCAGGCAUGUUAUUGUCAGCAGUCAUAUACACAUUUGGAUUUGAUUCCCAACUAUGUGGUUUAGGGUUCAGUCCCACUACACAGCACCUUGGGCACAUACUAGAACUGCUGGCCACUGAAAGCCAUGUGAACGAAUUUCAGACAUGGAAACUGAAAGAAGCUCAUGCAGGAAUAUGGUAACGAAAGGAUUAUUCGAUCAAGCUGUUCUCCUGAUUGUCAACCAGAGUGUCAGAAACUACUGGAGUGAAGAGGACACUAAUUUUAAAUGUACAUUUACGAAAUAGAAAGAAAAUAAAAGAACGAUUUUUGUGUUUGUGUGUGUGUGUCUUUCAGUUCUAUUGAACAUUUUGACUGCUGACCUAGAUAACCAUAGCUGUUAUUCGUCUAUCACAAACAAGUUAGAUUUGAUAGCUCAUCUUGUGCUUUCGCUAGCCUUUUCACACAUUUAUGUGGCUUCAAUAAACAUCAAUAAUUUCUUGGUCAUCAACGAUGUGAUGGCUAGAGUGUGAGAGCGCGGAGGCCAUACCAGCAGUCAGUGAGUUAUUCAUCACAGCAUGAGUAGAGUGAAGCAGCAACACCUAACUUGAGUGCUUGCUACAAGAUGGACUCAGCUAAAGACAUCCAUGUGCUUCAAUAUUCUGUUAGCCCCCGUUUUUUUUUUUUUUCAGAACUCAGAUCAUCAUCAUCAUCAUUUAAAGUCCGCUUUCCAUGCUGGCAUGGGUUGAAUGAUUUGACUGAGGACUGGCAAGCCAGAAGGCUGCACCAGGCUCCAAUCUGAUCUGGCAGAGUUUCUACAGCUGGAUGUUCUUCCUAACGCCAAUCACUACGAGAGUGUAGUGGGUGCUCUUACGUGCCACCGGCACAGGGCCAGUCACACGGUACUGGCACUGGCCUCACUCAAAAAGUGUUUUUUACGUGCUACCUGCAUGGGAGCCAGUCCAGCGGCACAAGCAACAACCUUACUCAAAUGAUUUUCUAACGUGCCACCAACACAAGUACUAGAAGGCGAUGUUAGUAACAAUUACGCUCAAAUGGUGUUAUUUACAGGCCACUAGCACGGAAGCCAGACAGCUGCUCUGGCAAUGAACACGCUCGGACAGUGCUGUUAGUGCUCCACUGGCACAGGUGCCAGUCAUCGGGUAUGAUUCAAUUUCAAUUUCAAUUUCAAUUUAAACAACGACAAUGACGACGAUGACGAUGACGAUGAUGAUUGAUCUUAAAACUAUAGCUCAUAAUUAACUUCAUUGCAUGUUAACUAUAUUUUUGCAUCUGCAUUUUCCAGUUGAUGCAAUGAGAGUAAUAGUUGGAGGAGAUCACAAAAUAAAACUGGAGAAAUGGGAUGUGGAGUAUCUCAUUGAAGGAUUGAAAGAAGGGGACAGACACUGUAAAGUUGGGCUGGGCUGGGCUGGCUUGGAGCCCUAAAUACCCUGGGACCAGUGCUGUCAAUAUCAAGUACCUGCCUCUUGUGGUUAGGCUGUUGCACUCGCAAUCGCAAGGUCGUGGUUUCAAUUCCUUGACCAGGUGGUGUGUUGUGUUCUUGAGCAAAACACUUCGUUUCACAUUGCUCCAGUGUCAUUCAGCUGUAAAUGGAUAACUUUGAGGUGGAUCGGCAUACAAGGGUGAGAUGGUGACUCAGGAAAAUCACCCAGAGGGAGUCAAGCCCCAUGUUGUAUUCAGUAUCUCAUUUACUCAUUUACUUGUUUCAGUCACUUGACUGUUGCCAUGCUGGAGCACCGCCUUUAGUCGAGCAGAUCGACCCCAGGACUUAUUCUUUGGAUGCCUAGUACUUAUUCUAUCGGUCUCUUUUUGCCGAACCGCUAAGUUACAGGGACACAAACACACCAGCAUCGGUUGUCAGGCGAUGUUGGGAGGACAAACAUAGACACACAAAUAUAUACACACACAAAUAUAUACACACACAUA